AUGGGGGUUAAAUAUUGAGUCACGAUGGAGAUUGUAGGAAAUAUAUCUUUAGAUUCGAUCCAUAUUGAGCCCAUAGUGAGGUCUAAGAUGACGAACGGAGUUCAACAAGCUCAAGAACAGUCCAAACGGAGUCCAAACGAAGAAAAUACACGUGAAAGAAGAUUGGAGCAGACGGCAUGGUGCAUGAGGCAACGGCGGCCGACGGUGGCACGGUCGGGCCCCAUAGAGAAGCGCUCGCAUAGGCACGC
rnacentral:lncRNA from 1 species